rnacentral:rRNA from 1 species
UACGGGGGGAGCAAGCGUUGUUCGGAUUUACUGGGCGUAAAGGGUGCGUAGGCGGCGCGGUAAGUCGGGUGUGAAAUUUCGAGGCUUAACUUCGAAACUGCAUUCGAUACUGCCGUGCUUGAGGACUGGAGAGGAGACUGGAAUUUACGGUGUAGCGGUGAAAUGCGUAGAUAUCGUAAGGAAGACCAGUGGCGAAGGCGGGUCUCUGGACAGUUCCUGACGCUGAGGCACGAAGGCCAGGGGAGCAAACGGG